UAUGACUAGGACUGCUUCUUGACUCCUGAU
rnacentral:piRNA from 1 species